ACUCAUCCAAAAUAAACCCUUUGUCUUGAACAAUCAACAAAAAUUGAACCAAGAAAUGAUAACUUAUCCACAAAGUGGAUUGCUGAUAAAUGCUAGCAAAUAUAGCCUAUAUAAAAGAAUCCAUAGUAAAUAAUAUCACCGACUACAAAAUUAUGAGGACAUUCUACUAAACCCUAAAUACCAGAUCGCUUGGAUAACAUUUUCUUGAAUUGUAGUAUAAUAGAUCCAAGUAACAUAUUUUUUUAACUCUGGUUUGGACUAUUGGCCACAGGCUGCAAAGCAUAUGCUAGUGUCAUGGCACAAUGUCAUUAAUGUAAAUUAAAACUGCAGAUCAGUGCACUUGAUUUUCAGAGCAUAGAAAAAUAAUGGCAUGAUGGCAUAAAUGUAAAUCGAAAGGAUACCAAGCAGUGCUGCUAGAGUCUCGAAAAAUUAGAUCCAUAUGCGAUGUAAUGCAUUAGAAAAAAAAUUAGAGAACAUACACGAUACUUCCAUUCAGCUUCAUAUACUUCCAUACACAAUCCGACUCAUAAACAUCUAUAUGAUAUGAAAAUAGGAGAUCAAAAUGCUCUACUUCCGCUCCAAUUCCACAUCAUCCAUUAGAAGAAAAUACAAAGAUCUUGCACGGAAAUUCAUUUGACUACCAAUACUAACCUGAAAGGUAGUCAUGGAGAUCGACAACUCUAGGAUUCCUUGAGCCAAUCGAGUAGAACCGGUCGCCAAUCCCUACACUGACAGCCCUGCACCAAUUUUGGAAGGAACGAAAAAUGUGGCAAGAGCUUAGAAUUAGUUAGUUCAACAAAGAAAGGUAGGAAGGAGAAUCAACAGCAAGGGAGAAGUCAACUGUGCAGAAUGGGGUUGGACAUUAAAAUUUAGUUCAAAAAAAUAAGAAAUGUCAUGGACAAAUGGAGGAUAAAGGCCUCCUUCGACAUAGGUCUCUCUCGGCGGCGGGAAGCAACAAAUCCUCCUCAAGUUCACCAGCCUAGUGCUACUUCUCGUUGCACCUUACAGUCUUGUUCCUGCAUCUACAGCCUAGGACUCAAGCUCGACGACACCAAGACGCCAACUGACUGAACUCUAGCAGAAACUCAAAAAUAGCACGAACCUCCAACAUGGAUGAGUUGCGAGCUGUGCCAAUCAAUCCUACCACUACCAUGGAUUUCAGUGAGCACAAGAUGCAGAAAAAGGAUCGUUCAGGAGCUCGUUCUUCCCGAACGACUCUGCAAGGAACCAGUUAAGCAAUCAGUCCAGGACGUCCAUAUAAGGAAUAUUUGGGUAAUAAAUCACAAGAACUCGAUACAAUUUUCAUUUGGAUCAAAAUUCAGGUACUCGCGUUUGACAACUUCAGGUUCUUGAAAAUUUUCUUUUAUUAUGAUUAUAUUCUGCUACAAAACAUAUGAAGAAUAAACAGGUAAGCUAAGAUGAACAAGAUGUCCACCAGCCAUUCGAACACCUCGAAAGAGAUACACGAGUCCAUCCAAAACAGAGGAAUGCCCAGCCGAAUCGGCACAAAGCCAAAUAUCAUCACUUACCUUCCAGCCGGGUGGUAGAGCGAGGUUUGAUCUUGCGACGGCGCAUGCGAGGACUGCAGACCGAAGCUAGGAAAAGGAGGACGGCAGCUGCUGGGUGAACAUGGACACCUUCCGCAGGGGGAUGGUCGGGCUUGA
rnacentral:lncRNA from 1 species